CAAAAAUAUGGGCUUUAGUCAACAUUUUGUCGAAGAUGUUAUAACAGUUUCUACUUCACUACACUUAAACGCAUCGAUUCAUGUUAAAACGGCUUUUGUCACCCAUAUAUAACCAUAUGUAUAGAACUUGCAGACAAUUUGUCAGAGUCAUGUAAAAAGGACUUUAGUCACGGGCUUAAAUCAUUUUAGCGCAAAACCCUUA